GAAGAAGAGUGAGGCAUGGUGGGUUUCAUUAAGUGUUGCUGUUUAGGUGUUGGUUCUCCUGGAGGAGCUUGUUAUGAUUAGCUUCCCCAGUGUGAGUUCGACCAUUUUUAUCGGAGGAGCUCAGGUGGCAAAUUAUUAGUUCAGUGGCCUGAUGCAUGGAGUGUUUGGGAUCAGAGCAAACUGAGAGCUGUGUUCAGUGGGAGUACAAAAACGGGAAAUGGUUUUACCAUGUAUGAAAACAGAGUUCUUAUGCACUGUGUCUGCAGCUUACUGUUCACGAAACCAUCGAUGAGCGAGGAGUCAUCAGGACCAGUACCAGGGAUCAACUGAUGACUGCCUGCUUGCAAGGAAGGCACUUAUGCCGCUGAGCUAAAUCCCCAGCCCCGCUUCUUAUAACUUACAAUAUGCGCUGGGCAAGAGCAUCAUUUCACAGCCCCUGGUCAGUCUCACCAUCCUGAGUUGCUGCGCUGUGUUUGGGGAAUGAGGUAUCUGAAGCACAUUGUCAACUUCCCAUAUUCUGAAUCUGUGAUAAGAUUAUGGGGACAAAUUUCCACUCUAAGUCAAGGAGCAGAGCACUUCUACAGUGAAUCACAGCAGUCAUAGACAGGAAGGACUAUUGAAAUCGCCACUUUGUCUUUCUGUCUGUUUGGCACUGGCUUUUUCUAUAUGACCCAAGCCAGCCUAGAACUUUCUGGGCAGCCCAGUCUGCCCUCAAAUUUGGCAUCCUCCUUCCUCAGCCUCUAGAAUGAGGGCAAUAUAGGCAUGUGCCACUACAUGUGUCUAAGUUAUCACUUUGAUUAAAUGCUGGAGGUGAAGUUUGGAAUAGGAUGAGCCCACAGGGGAAUUUCAGGCAGACAUUUUCCCCACCCUUUGAUGUGCUUUCCACCCAAAACCUACCAGGAUUCAAGGGUAUGUCUUAGUUCAAUUUAUUGUAAUAAAAUUCUCAGUACUGAAUGUCAUAAACUAAAGAGAUCUGUAUGGCACACGAUCUGAGGGUCUAAAAAGGAGUCAAGUCAGUCUCUGAAUGUCAUUUUCAUGUAAAAAAAAUUGCUUGUUUGUCCCAAUGAUUUUAUUCUUUGUCUUUUUUAUUUUAAAGAGAAAAAUAAGUAAAUAAAAAUUUCAACAAGAUAAUAGGAGAGUAACAAUGGUUAAUACAUGACAUAUUGUUAUCUUCAAAGUAAUUACUCGGAGUACAAGACAUAGGCAUGAAAACUUGUCCAAAAAUAUCAGAACAACCUUUCAUUCAAUGAACUAAGAGAAACUAGUAGUAUAACUAUCUCCUUCCCUUCCUACUUUCUUUCU